GGAGGGUAUAGCUCAGUGGUAGAGUGCAUGCCUAGCAUGCAUGAGGCCCUGGGUUCAAUCCCCAGUGCCUCCA
rnacentral:tRNA from 1 species